rnacentral:rRNA from 1 species
UCCAAGGGUUCCUGCUCAACGCUAAUCGGAGCAGGGUUAGUCGGCCCCUAAGGCGAGGCCGAAAGGCGUAGUCGAUGGGAAACAGGUUAAUAUUCCUGUACUUGGUGGUAGUGACGGAUGCCGUGUGUUGUAUCUCCUUAUUGGAUUGGGGGUGCAGCGAAGGUGUUCCAGGAAAUAGCUCCACCGUAUAAACCGUACCCGAAACCGACACAGGUGGACUGGUAGAGCAUACCAAGGCGCUUGAGAGAACGAUGUUGAAGGAACUCGGCAAAAUACCUCCGUAAGUUCGCGAGAAGGAGGCCCGGUUCCUAGGCAACUAGGGGCUGGGGGCACAAACCAGGGGGUGGCGACUGUUUAUUAAAAACACAGGGCUCUGCGAAGUCGCAAGACGA